GACGAACGCUGGCGGCGUGCUUAACACAUGCAAGUCGAACGGAAAGGCCCUGCUUGCAGGGUACUCGAGUGGCGAACGGGUGAGUAACACGUGGGUGAUCUGCCCUUCACUUCGGGAUAAGCCUGGGAAACUGGGUCUAAUACCGGAUAGGAGCCAUUUUUAGUGUGAUGGUUGGAAAGUUUUUUCGGUGUAGGAUGAGCUCGCGGCCUAUCAGCUUGUUGGUGGGGUAAUGGCCUACCAAGGCGGCGACGGGUAGCCGGCCUGAGAGGGUGGACGGCCACAUUGGGACUGAGAUACGGCCCAGACUCCUACGGGAGGCAGCAGUGGGGAAUAUUGCACAAGGGGCGCAAGCCUGAUGCAGCGACGCCGCGGGGGGGAUGACGGCCUUCGGGUUGUAAACGCCUUUCGCUAGGGACGAAGCUUUUUGUGACGGUACCUAGAUAAGAAGCACCGGCUAACUACGUG
rnacentral:rRNA from 1 species